AUUGAACGCUGGCGGCAGGCCUAACACAUGCAAGUCGAGCGGAUGAAGGGAGCUUGCUCCUGGAUUCAGCGGCGGACGGGUGAGUAAUGCCUAGGAAUCUGCCUGGUAGUGGGGGAUAACGUCCGGAAACGGGCGCUAAUACCGCAUACGUCCUGAGGGAGAAAGUGGGGGAUCUUCGGACCUCACGCUAUCAGAUGAGCCUAGGUCGGAUUAGCUAGUUGGUGGGGUAAAGGCCUACCAAGGCGACGAUCCGUAACUGGUCUGAGAGGAUGAUCAGUCACACUUGAACUUAGACACGGUCCAGACUCCUACGGGAGGCAGCAGUUGGGAAUAUUGGACAAUGGGCGAAAGCCUGAUCCAGCCAUGCCGCGUGUGUAAAGAAGGUCUUCGGAUUUUAAAGCACUUUAAGUUGGGAGGAAGGGCAGUAAGUUAAUACCUUGCUGUUUUGACGUUACCAACAGAAUAAGCACCGGCUAACUUCGUG
rnacentral:rRNA from 1 species